CGAACGCUGGCGGCGUGCCUAAUACAUGCAAGUCGAGCGGACCGACGGGAGCUUGCUCCCUUAGGUCAGCGGCGGACGGGUGAGUAACACGUGGGUAACCUGCCUGUAAGACUGGGAUAACUCCGGGAAACCGGGGCUAAUACCGGAUGCUUGAUUGAACCGCAUGGUUCAAUCAUAAAAGGUGGCUUUUAGCUACCACUURCAGAUGGACCCGCGGCGCAUUAGCUAGUUGGUGAGGUAACGGCUCACCAAGGCGACGAUGCGUAGCCGACCUGAGAGGGUGAUCGGCCACACUGGGACUGAGACACGGCCCAGACUCCUACGGGAGGCAGCAGUAGGGAAUCUUCCGCAAUGGACGAAAGUCUGACGGAGCAACGCCGCGUGAGUGAUGAAGGUUUUCGGAUCGUAAAACUCUGUUGUUAGGGAAGAACAAGUACCGUUCGAAUAGGGCGGYACCUUGACGGUACCUAAC
rnacentral:rRNA from 1 species